GACGUAGGGUGCGAGCGUUGUCCGGAUUUAUUGGGCGUAAAGAGCUCGUAGGCGGCUCGUCGCGUCGACCGUGAAAACCCGGGGCUCAACCCCGGGCCUGCAGUCGAUACGGGCAGACUAGAGUGCGGUAGGGGAGACUGGAAUUCCUGGUGUAGCGGUGAAAUGCGCAGAUAAUCAGGAGGAACACCCGUAGCGAAAGGCGGCACUCUGGGCCGAUACUACGUGAGGAGCGAAAAGCGUGGGGAGCGAACAGG
rnacentral:rRNA from 1 species